rnacentral:sRNA from 1 species
UCUCGAUGUCAUCACACGAUCUCGCUCGC